UUGGAAAGGUCUGUCUGUACUGAUCUAGCAGAAGCUGGUUUGUUGACAACCCAGAGAAAAGUCCUGACACGUCAUAAGCAAAACAUCCCUGCGUCGGGGCAUUGAAUACUGUAUCCUUGCCUAAUCUAGUAUCCUCUCCUUCUAGCAGCUGCACAAAGCGUGUAGCGUGGCGAUGAUUGUAAGUACUCUUGAGCAGGCAAACCAGACUAUGUUCUUGUCUAACACUUGGUAAAAAGCUCCCUACACCACCACGUGACAAAACAGAGUGAACUCUAUAGCCAAAAGGUGUCCCAAGUUCCUAAGAGAUAACAGCGCACGUGCAGCCACUUCCUGGAUGAAUUUGUGACAUGACCAUUGCCUUAGCAAGUUGAUCUAUGUGAUAUAUGAAGUCUGAAAUGAUGAAAUUGCCAAAUUUCAGUAAAAGUAAAAGUGUCAGAACUAGCAAAAAAGUGGCGCCCAAUCAAGCUCAUGUUCAUUUCCUUGACAAUGUCUAUCUUCUUGCGCAACAGAUUGAACAAACACCGAUGACAGUCUUUGUUGAUUCCAGGAAGUAGGUAAGGGACACAGAUGCCAAUCCAGACUGUCAGAACAUCUCCAAACCAACACAGUAAAUCUCAUCAAGGCAAUGCAAAGGUGAAGUGGCUGGCAAAGACAAGGCAUCAAAGUCUACUGGGGUCAAUACUACAGGAGGCCUCUCGGGAGAGGUUCUGUUCUGUGAUAGGACGUCCUCUUUAGCAAGUACUAAAUCAUCUCAUGGGUGAGCGGGUUGAUCGACAGACAACUCUCAGCUGAGGAGCAGAACCGUCAGGAACCGGCUGAAAGCGGCAGGACUGAGGGCUAGAUGAGUCAUAAAGUGUCCCUUGUUGAGAGAUCACCACAAAGCUGCUCGUUUAGCAUGGUGUAUUGCGCAACAGAACUGGAAUCUAAGAACGUGAAGACGGAUCCAUUGGUCAGACGAAAGUCGCUUUCUUCUCCACGUCACUUAUGGAAGAACGAGAAUUUAGAGGCAUCGAACACAGCCUACACCCUCAGGAACAUUAAACCGACUACUGCAUACGGCAGGGGCUCGGUAAUGGUUUGGGGGUGUAUCUCUUAUGAUUGCAGGUUGGAUUUGGUCACCAUAAUGGGCAACUUAACAGGGGCUUAGUAUAUCGGGGACGUUUUGAGGCCAGUCGUCGUUCCUCAUUUUGACAACAACCCUACUGCUACUCAACCUCAGAACAUGGAUGGCAAUGCCAGGCCUCAUUGUUCGCAUGCAGUCGUGGAUAACAUGAGGGCCAAUGCAAUAACGACUCUGCCCUGGCCAGCAAUGAGCCAAGAUUUGAACCCCCUUGAAUAAGUUUGGGAUAUUCUGGGGUGGCUCAUACAGGCACGAGAUCCUCCUGUACAAGAUUUACGCCGAUUGGGAGCAGCAUUGCAUCAGGAGUGGUUGAUGUUGACCCAUUCAACAGAUCCAAUGUCUGACUGGAGGCAUGAGAUGUAGGGUGGAAUGCGUCAUCCGGUCACUUGGCGGUUAUACCUGCUACUGAUCUGUUUCAUGUGUCAUGUCAAGUAGAGACUCUAAGGAACAUUUUCACAUGAAAUCAAAUGUAACUUGUUUACUUAAUCUUGCAGCUCAAUACAUUAUUUAGGUUUUGUCUAAGGUCAAAAACAGUA